rnacentral:rRNA from 1 species
UACGGAGGGUGCGAGCGUUGUCCGGAAUCACUGGGCGUAAAGGGCGCGUAGGUGGCGCAGGAAGUCAACGGUGAAAGUUCGGGGCUCAACCCUGAAUCGGCCGUCGAUACUCCUGGGCUCGAGCACUGUAGAGGCAGGAUGGAAUUCCGGGUGUAGCGGUGGAAUGCGUAGAGAUCCGGAAGAACACCGGUGGCGAAGGCGGCGACUCUGGGACGGUACUGA